GACGAACGCUGGCGGCGUGCUUAACACAUGCAAGUCGAACGGAAAGGCCCCUUUGGGGGUACUCGAGUGGCGAACGGGUGAGUAACACGUGAGUAACCUGCCCUUGACUUCGGGAUAACUUCAGGAAACUGGGGCUAAUACCGGAUAGGAAUCCUUGCUGCCUGGUGGGGGGUGGAAAGCUUCGGGGGUUUUGGAUGGACUCGCGGCUUAUCAGUUUGUUGGUGGGGUAGUGGCUUACCAAGGCUUUGACGGGUAGCCGGCCCGGGAGGGCGACCGGCCAACAUGGGACUGGGAUACGGCCCAGGAUCCUACGGGGGGCAGCAGUGGGGAAUAUUGCACAAUGGGCGGAAGCCCGAUGCAGCAACGCCGCGUGCGGGAUGACGGCCUUCGGGUUGGAAACCGCUUUCAGCAGGGGAGAAGCUUGUGGUGACGGUACCUGCAGAAGAAGCACCGGCUAACUACGUG
rnacentral:rRNA from 1 species